rnacentral:rRNA from 1 species
CGACGGGUGAGUAACGCGCAUGCAACUUGCCUAUCAGAGGGGGAUAACCCGGCGAAAGUCGGACUAAUACCGCAUGAAGCAGGGGCCCCGCAUGGGGAUAUUUGCUAAAGAUUCAUCGCUGAUAGAUAGGCAUGCGUUCCAUUAGGCAGUUGGCGGGGUAACGGCCCACCAAACCGACGAUGGAUAGGGGUUCUGAGAGGAAGGUCCCCCACAUUGGUACUGAGACACGGACCAA